GGCAUAUGGAGGUUCCCAGGCUAGGGGUAGAAUUGGAGCUGCAGCCACUGGCCAAUGCCAUAGCCACAGCAAUGCCAGGUCCGAGCCACAUCUGCUACCUACACCAUAGCUCACGGCAGCGCUGGAUCCUUAACCCACUGAGCGAGGCCAGGGAUUGAACCCACAACGCCAUGGUUCCUAGUCGGAUUCAUUUCUGCUGUGCCACAAUGGGAACUCCAUAGGCUUAUUAUUUAAAAAAAUAAUAAUAAUAGAAAUGUAAAGAACCUGGCAGAGUUCUUAACUCAUAGUAGAAAAUCCCCUUUAUCUUCUCUGUCUUUGUGUUUGUGACUUGAUAGGAUGUUAUAGUCCCAGGAUGUUGUGGGAUUUAAUUUGAUGGAGAAUCACCAGGAGGCAUUUAAGAGCACCAGUGGACAGUGAUGGUGAUCUUGCCUCUAACAGUCUGAGAGUCUCAGAUAACUCAGCUCUGAGGAACUGCCCUAAAUGUGGAAUACUAUAAUGAUGAUCAUUAUUGACUAAGGUGUAGACACCAGACCCACAACUGCUCGUGUCCAGUUGUAACAAAUUCAUUUGCCAGGCAAAAGGAGGCCCUGUGGGUUGCAUGGAUUUUCUGUUAUGAGCGAUCUGACAGUACCUUAACGCAUUAGUUAAUGACUUAGAAAGAAGUGGUUCAAUUGCCUUGUAGGCCAAUGUGCACAGCCAAGAGAAGUUCAUGAGCAGCACUGCCUUGGGAGUCAAGGGGGAAUGACAAGGACAUUAUUUAAGAUACCCCAGUGAGCCUGUAUGAAUGCAAGGGGGAGCAUCUGAGUAGCUGAAGGAAGGUGCUGUCAUUCUUCUACUCGGAAAAAUAUGUCAAUCCUAAUGAUUUGAAUGAGACUUUUUUUUUUUUAAGCAGGGUAACAUUUUUAGAGCCUUCCCUAUGGUAUAUUCUUUUAUAAGACGAUUUCCUAUAAAUGAAGUUUCUUCAGUGAUUUUUCUCCUGCAAGAACGGUUCUAACAAAGACAAUGCAUUUGACUAAUAAUAGCUCAGAUGAUUGUAUCUAUUUUUCUAGAAGUUUUAAUAAAGAAACAAUUUUUCAGGCAUCUCCAUCUCAUAUAUAAAUCUCUGUUAAGUGUAUGGUACACAUUUAUCUUCCUAGUUAAAAGUGCUGAAGUAGAUGGUCAGUCCUCUUGGCGUUGGUUUUCACCUGUUUUUAAUACAUUGUAUCUUCUAUAACUCUUAGAUCAAGGACUGUUUAUUUAGAAUACCAAUAAUUAUAUUGUAUGUGUACCUAUACCACUUUUACCUGCACCGUCUCUAGUGUGUUUUUCAGCAACUUCUAGAAUUCACAUCUUAUAUUUGUUUUAUAUUUGUUUUAAAUAUUCAGUGCAUUUUAUUGGUCCUUUGCUGUUUUCCUUGCCCCCUGUCAGUGCUUGAGCAGUCAGGGGCCCGAGUGGUCAGCAGCGAGAUUCCCACAUUAUAAACAGCCCAUCAUAUAAAUUACAGCUGAUGGUAGAGCCCCUUUUCCCAGUUGCAAGGGUUACUUACAUUUGAAAAUGGGAAAGCAGGAUUUGGUUUUGAGCAGAAAGAACUUCUCUGCACAUCGGCUGUUUACAAACUCAUCUACACCUAAUCUUUCAUUUCCACUCAAGAUGGAGGGUUUACGAUGAAUACGGUCGACGCAGAAAAUGGCCAAGUGCUUGGCUUCUUUUAAAUACAUCCUGCACACUGCACACAGACUCGGAGCAUCAGUUAGAGAGAAGUGACAGCCGACUUGACCUUUCUUUCCGAAUCGCAUGUGGAAAAAGGGAAUUAGCUUGCUGCAAUAGUACUUGAACUUGCUUUAACUUAUCACUUUCCUUUUUAGAAGGAGGAAUGCACAUUAGAAAUGCAAAAAAUCACCUUCAGGCCUCAUGUUGUUUAAAAUGAAACUAAACUUCCUCACAAUAUUAAAUCAGAUGUCAGAAGAAUUUAUUAAGGUGAUCAUAAUAGAUACCAUCCAAGUUUUCUUUUCUCGCUCUCGUUUUUUUUUUUUUUAAUAAACCAAUAUUUACAUUUAGCACUGAGAUGCAUUGUGUGUGUGUGUGUGUGUGUGUGUGUGUGUGUAUGUUGAAUUUUGCAGUGGCUAUUGAGCUUCCCCAGGAGAACAUAGGAACAAUAGGUCCACUAGUGAGGUACGAGUUAUAAAAGCUUUUAAAUUGGCUUCCAUGUAACUGGAAACCAAAUAAAUGGCUAUGGAAAGUACGAAAGGAGACCUAGCUGGGUUUUUUCCAUAGUUGCCAAUUACUGCUAUUAGAAGAUCUGGUAUGCUAUCCCUAUUCCAAAGCAGUGAUGAUUGACACAGCCCUCAGCCAAUCAUACUGUUUCCUUGUCAGCUGUCAUUAGCCUGUGAUCAAUUACCAUGAUUUUAGACUAAGUUGAAUGGAAAGCAGAAACACAUUGUAACCCAAAAGCUCAUCAGGUAAAUAUGCCACAUAAAGAAAUAUAUCUUCUCUGACCUCGCUGACAUUUUCAAACUGUUUAAAAGCUGAAGUUAAUUCUUUCUGAUGGCCUUUCAUCUUUAGUUGACAACAGAGAGCCCCAGAGUGGUGACAGCUCUUGUCAAGUGAGACUGUCUUAUCAAAAACAAUACCCUCCAGAUCUUUCAAUCCAAAUAUUCUAAUCUAAAAUAAUUGCAUUUAAAAUUUCAUGUAGCUUUUAUGUCUUCCCUGAACCAUGCUGGUAUGCAAUCACACGAAUCUUUUCCUGCAGCCCACUUUAAGCUUCACAUUUUCAAUAUUGCUAGUUUAAAAAUGCAUCAUAGAGGUACCAUGCAGGCUUGAGAUUAUAAAACUGUAGCCAGAGUGAACAGCUACAAUUUGUUCUUCUCUGUCUUUUAUUUGUAUCUACAUGCUUGGAAGGUGUUUUUGCAAGUGUCAGUCCCAGCUCUGUUUCUAUAUCACUGUACUUCUUGUGCUCAAUCCAAGCAGCGUAAAAUCUUGUCUCUGAAAAAGCAGCAGAAAUCCUGGAUUUGGCUCGGAAAUGAUGUGAAUCAGCUGUUGAAAAUUUAGAUUUUUUAACACCGUGUUUUAGUUAUCUCUUCCAAACCUAACUCAACUUAUGAUUCGGAGGACCCUCGUCAAUGGCAUGUAAUUGCAAGCAGCCAGAUGUUUUAUCCAUUGCCUUGGAUCCCAAGACGGAUGGCUGGAUCCCACGUCUUCGGUAAAGGCUUGUAGAUUUGAAGACAACUCCCAUCUCCUUUUACCAGCCCUGUUGAUGCAGGUACCCAUGUUGCAAGGGACUGCUUUAUAUGUUGUGUUCAGAAAUGUUUCUUUUUUGACAAAAACCUUCUGCAGACCUGUUUUACCUGUGGCAUGAGAGCUGGUAUCCCUUCUCAUGGUGCCUGGCCAAGCCCCAUCCCUGGCCUUAUCCCUGGCCAUUUUGUCCUGGUACCUUUUUCAGCAGUGGUCUCUAGACACGCAUUCUUUUCACCAUUCCUUCCCUCCCCCCAGGUUCUGCUCCCACACUGUCCCCCUGGUUAUGGCAGAGGUUUUUGAUUUGUUUGUUUUCUUUAUAGCUUUGCCCACUUAAGUUACCUAGUUGGGUUUAUUCCAAGAGAGGCUCACAUUGAAAGGAAAAAACUAUCCUACUCAAAGUGAUUUUUUGAGCAGUUUUCACUUCCCAUUCACACAGGUGAGGCAGGGCUGCCCUGAUUUCUCCUGUAAAGUCAAGGUUCCAGAUUCAAGCAAAAAGAGCCAAGGAACAAGAUCCUUUAAGAUCUUCCCUGAGAAAAUGAUAAAAGUGAAAACGUGUACUCCUUUUCGGCGAUAGCUUUUCUCUUAGAUGUAAGUGACCCGGAGGAUCUAUUUUUUAUUUUCAGCUUUUACUC
rnacentral:lncRNA from 1 species